GAAGCACUUUCACAGGCCCUCCCCCAGGCAGGGGGGCCAGGAUUUGGUAGCUGGUGCUGGAAGGAAAACUCUUGGGCCCAUCCUCGCCCUGGGACCGUGCCAGUGGCACUGUCAGUCAAUGGCACAGGG